AGAGUUUGAUCAUGGCUCAGAUUGAACGCUGGCGGCAUGCCUUACACAUGCAAGUCGAACGGCAGCACGGGGGCAACCCUGGUGGCGAGUGGCGAACGGGUGAGUAAUACAUCGGAACGUGUCCUGUAGUGGGGGAUAGCCCGGCGAAAGCCGGAUUAAUACCGCAUACGAUCUACGGAUGAAAGCGGGGGACCGAAAGGCCUCGCGCUAGAGGGGCGGCCGAUGGCAGAUUAGCUAGUUGGUGGGGUAAAGGCCUACCAAGGCGACGAUCUGUAGCUGGUCUGAGAGGACGACCAGCCACACUGGGACUGAGACACGGCCCAGACUCCUACGGGAGGCAGCAGUGGGGAAUUUUGGACAAUGGGGGCAACCCUGAUCCAGCAAUGCCGCGUGUGUGAAGAAGGCCUUCGGGUUGUAAAGCACUUUUGUCCGGAAAGAAAUCCUUUGGGCUAAUACCUCGGGGGGAUGACGGUACCGGAAGAAUAAGCACCGGCUAACUACGUGCCAGCAGCCGCGGUAAUACGUAGGGUGCGAGCGUUAAUCGGAAUUACUGGGCGUAAAGCGUGCGCAGGCGGUUCGCUAAGACCGAUGUGAAAUCCCCGGGCUUAACCUGGGAACUGCAUUGGUGACUGGCGGGCUAGAGUAUGGCAGAGGGGGGUAGAAUUCCACGUAGCAGUGAAAUGCGUAGAGAUGUGGAGGAAUACCGAUGGCGAAGGCAGCCCCCUGGGCCAAUACUGACGCUCAUGCACGAAAGCGUGGGGAGCAAACAGGAUUAGAUACCCCCGUAGUCC
rnacentral:rRNA from 1 species